rnacentral:rRNA from 1 species
AUUGAACGCUGGCGGCAGGCCUAACACAUGCAAGUCGAGCGGCAGCGGGAAAGUAGCUUGCUACUUUUGCCGGCGAGCGGCGGGCGGGUGAGUAAUGCCUGGGAAAUUGCCCAGUCGAGGGGGAUAACAGUUGGAAACGACUGCUAAUACCGCAUACGACCUACGGGGGAAAGCAGGGGACCUUCGGGCCUUGCGCGAUUGGAUAUGCCCAGGUGGGAUUAGCUAGUUGGUGAGGUAAUGGCUCACCAAGGCGACGAUCCUUACCUUGUCUGAGAGGAUGAUCAGCCACACUGGAACUGAGACACGGUCCAGACUCCUACGGGAGGCAGCAGUGGGGAAUAUUGCACAAUGGGGGAAACCCUGAUGCAGCCAUGCCGCGUGUGUGAAGAAGGCCUUCGGGUUGUAAAGCACUUUCAGCGAGGAGGAAAGGUUGAUGCCUAAUACGUAUCAACUGUGACGUUACUCGCAGAAGAAGCACCGGCUAACUCCGUGCCAGCCGCCGCAGUAAGAC